rnacentral:rRNA from 1 species
UACGUAGGGUCCGAGCGUUGUCCGGAAUUACUGGGCGUAAAGAGCUCGUAGGUGGUUUGUCGCGUUGUUCGUGAAAACUCACAGCUUAACUGUGGGCGUGCGGGCGAUACGGGCAGACUUGAGUACUGCAGGGGAGACUGGAAUUCCUGGUGUAGCGGUGGAAUGCGCAGAUAUCAGGAGGAACACCGGUGGCGAAGGCGGGGUCUCUGGGCAGUAACUGAC